CCGCCCGUCACAUCACGAAAGCCAUCUGUACUAGAAGCCAGUGAUUCAACCGAAAGGAGAUAGCCGUCCAAGGUAUGAAUGGUGAUUGGGUG
rnacentral:rRNA from 1 species